rnacentral:rRNA from 1 species
UACAGAGGGUGCAAGCGUUAAUCGGAAUUAUUGGGCGUAAAGGGCAUGUAGGUGGCGAUUUAAGUCUGAUGUGAAAGCCCUGGGCUUAACCUGGGAAUUGCGUUGGAAACUGGAUAGCUAGAGUCGGACAGAGGGCCGUGGAAUUUCCGGUGUAGCAGUGAAAUGCGUAGAGAUCGGAAAGAACACCUGUGGCGAAGGCGGCGGCCUGGGACCAGACUGACACUGAGGUGCGAAAGCAUGGGGAGCAAACAGG